AACAUCGCGCACCUGCGGGAACCUGCGGAAGGAUCAUUACCGAGUUUACAACUCCCAAACCCCUGUGAACAUACCUAUACGUUGCCUCGGCGGAUCAGCCCGCGCCCCGUAAAAAGGGACGGCCCGCCCGAGGACCCCUAAACUCUGUUUUUAGUGGAACUUCUGAGUAAAACAAACAAAUAAAUCAAAACUUUUAACAAUGGAUCU
rnacentral:misc_RNA from 1 species